GUUCAACUGCGGCGUUGGUGACUGCCAAUAAUGUUUUUGAUCUAUGCUUUGUUAAAUUAGGGAACUGAACUGUUUUAGCAGCAGUAGACCGGGCUUGUACCCGGAAACUUUAAGCUAGACGAAUCGGUACCCACCUGGCUUUGUCCAGGUCAAAACUGAGGCAAGACGGCGCUGCGGGGAACUU
rnacentral:other from 1 species